CAAACACCGCCUCUUCGAAAAAGCAUAUUUUUUUAAUCGUGAAAUGUAGUUGAUCAGCAUGCCGAAGCUCGGUGUUUUGUUUACUAUAAAAGUAUCCAUUUUAUAUAAACAGAAAAACAAAAAUAUUGCUGUUUGUACAGUGGAAGUUCGCCUUGUAUAAAUAAUGAAGUUCGUUCAUAUUACUGGAAGAUACUGCUUCUUUUACAUUUGCGUGAGUUCACUAGAUGUUUCGGAGUAGGAUGCACAUGUGCUACUGGUUUGCUUGUGUUUUUCCUUAUCCUUAAUAUUUUUUUAUAACAAUAGUUACUUUAUAUGCAGGCAUAAAUGCAAGAUACAACAAUAGCAGAUGUUAGUUCACAUGAGCAAGAACGAGCUCUCUGUGAAUAUUGAGCUCUCUGAUGUUCGGGAGACGGAGGACUGAUGUGGACCUCCCCCGAGGGCUGAUGUGGAUUUCCCCGCGAGCUAAUGCAGAUCUUCCUGAGCUCCUCGAUCUGCUCUGCAUGUCUCCCAUGCAAUCCGACAUUCUGCAGGUGUGCAUCUUCAAAAGGUACUUACUCUCAUUGUUAAGAUUAUUUAGAAUUUGCAUGAGUUUGUGAGCUUAUUGAGGUGAAUGAAGAUUCUGGACAACUUUCUUCAAAGAAACUUUGCAAUGUAGUUGGAGAAGUCGUGAUGCCGUGGUCAGCAUCCGAGGAGUUGGCGACCUCCCAAUCCCGCUGCUGCCCAAAAUCUCUCACUCAGAAGCUUAACCCAGUUAUUCUUGGGUUUUGGCUAGUUGAAUACUGCGGGUUUAUGAUGUUCUCAUGAAUGUCAUAUGUUUGUUGAAAACGCUCCUGUGCGCAUAGAUACAUGUAUGUGCAGCAAUGAGGAUGGAUGCGCUUAGCUAUGCGAUCUGGAUAGUCCACUUUUGUGUACCUCGACAUUUCAGUUGUAUGUAUAUCAGCAGGUCACCACGGUUCACCUUCUUUUUCUUUUGAGAAAAUGACUGUUAACUUCUGUCUAUAAAGUUUACUCAAUUUAGGGAGUUCGUUUUCUUAUGUAA